rnacentral:rRNA from 1 species
UACGGAGGGGGCAAGCGUUGUUCGGAAUUACUGGGCGUAAAGCGCACGCAGGUGGCUGAGUCAGUCGAUUGUGAAAGCCCUGGGCUUAACCUGGGAAUUGCAGUCGAUACUACUCAGCUAGAGUAUGGGAGAGGGUAGUGGAAUUCCCGGUGUAGCGGUGAAAUGCGUAGAUAUCGGGAGGAACAUCAGUGGCGAAGGCGGCUACCUGGCCCAAUACUGACACUCAGGUGCGACAGCGUGGGGAGCAAACAGG